UACGUAGGAUGCAAGCGUUGUCCGGAAUUAUUGGGCGUAAAGAGCGCGCAGGCGGUUUGAGAAGUCAGAUGUGAAAGAGGCCGGCUUAACCGGCAAGGGUCAUUUGAAACUGACAGACUAGAGUACAGCAGAGGGAUAGCGGAAUUCCCGGUGUAGUGGUGAAAUGCGUAGAUAUCGGGGAGGAACACCCAGUGGCGAAAGCGACACACUGGGUCUCAACUGACGCUGAGGCA
rnacentral:rRNA from 1 species